rnacentral:rRNA from 1 species
GAUGAACGCUGGCGGCGUGCCUAAUACAUGCAAGUCGAGCGAACGGACGAGAAGCUUGCUUCUCUAAUGUUAGCGGCGGACGGGUGAGUAACACGUGGAUAACCUACCUAUAAGACUGGGAUAACUUCGGGAAACCGUAGCUAAUACCGGAUAAUAUUUUGAACCGCAUGGUUCAAAAGUGAAAGACGGUCUUGCUGUCACUUAUAGAUGGAUCCGCGCUGCAUUAGCUAGUUGGUAAGGUAACGGCUUACCAAGGCAACGAUGCAUAGCCGACCUGAGAGGGUGAUCGGCCACACUGGAACUGAGACACGGUCCAGACUCCUACGGGAGGCAGCAGUAGGGAAUCUUCCGCAAUGGGCGGAAGCCUGACGGAGCACCGCCGCGUGAGUGAUGAAGGUCUUCGGAUCGUAAAACUCUGUUAUUAGGGAAGAACAUAUGUGUAAGUAACUGUGCACAUCUUGACGGUACCUAAUCAGAAAGCCACGGCUAACUACGUG